GCUGGGUGUGGUGGUGCACACCUGUAAUCCCAGCAGCUUGGGAAACUGAGGCAGGAGAAUCACGAGUUCAAAGCCAGCCUCAGCAAAAGCAAGGCACUAAGCAAAUCAGUGAGACCCUGUUUCUA
rnacentral:sRNA from 1 species